UGGGGAAUCUUGCACAAUGGGGGCAACCCUGAUGCAGCGACGCCGCGUGAGCGAUGAAGCCCUUCGGGGCGUAAAGCUCUUUCGACAGGAACGAUAAUGACGGUACCUGGAGAAGAAGCUGCGGCUAACUACGUGCCAGCAGCCGCGGUAAUACGUAGGCAGCGAGCGUUGUUCGGAGUUACUGGGCGUAAAGAGUGCGUAGGCGGCGAGCCAAGUUUGGUGUGAAAUCUCCCGGCUUAACCGGGAGGGUGCGCCGAAAACUGGUUGGCUGGAGUAUGGGAGAGGAAAGCGGAAUUCCUGGUGUAGCGGUGAAAUGCGUAGAUAUCAGGAGGAACACCUGCGGUGUAGACAGCUUUCUGGACCAAAACUGACGCUGAGGCACGAAAGCGUGGGUAGCAAACA
rnacentral:rRNA from 1 species